CCUACGGGGGGCAGCAGUGAGGAAUAUUGGUCAAUGGACGAGAGUCUGAACCAGCCAAGUAGCGUGAAAGAUGACUGCCCUAUGGGUUGUAAACUUCUUUUAUAUGGGAAUAAAACGUUCCACGUGUGGGAUUUUGUAUGUACCAUAUGAAUAAGGAUCGGCUAACUCCGUGCCAGCAGCCGCGGUAAUACGGAGGAUCCGAGCGUUAUCCGGAUUUAUUGGGUUUAAAGGGAGCGUAGGUGGAUUGUUAAGUCAGUUGUGAAAGUUUGCGGCUCAACCGUAAAAUUGCAGUUGAAACUGGCAGUCUUGAGUACAGUAGAGGUGGGCGGAAUUCGUGGUGUAGCGGUGAAAUGCUUAGAUAUCACGAAGAACUCCGAUUGCGAAGGCAGUUCACUGGACUGCAACUGACACUGAGGCUCGAAAGUGUGGGUAUCAAACAGGAUUAGAUACCCCUGUAGUC
rnacentral:rRNA from 1 species